CUACGGGGGGCACCAGUGAGGAAUAUUGCACAAUGGGGGGAACCCUGAUGCAGCAACGCCGCGUGGAGGAUGACGCAUUUCGGUGUGUAAACUCCUUUUAUAUGUCAAGAAAAUGACGGUAGCAUAUGAAUAAGCACCGGCUAACUCCGUGCCAGCAGCCGCGGUAAUACGGAGGGGUGCAAGCGUUACUCGGAAUCACCGGGCGUAAAGGACGCGUAGGCGGGUUGGAAAGUCAGGUGUGAAAUCCUACAGCUUAACUGUAGAACUGCACUUGAAACUUCUAAUCUAGAGUAUGGGAGGGGGAGAUGGAAUUAGUGGUGUAGGGGUAACAUCCGUAGAUAUCACUAGGAAUACCUAAAGCGAAGGCGAUCUCCUGGAACAUUACUGACGCUAAGGCGUGAAAGCGUGGGGAGCAAACAGGAUUAGAUACCCGGGUAGUC
rnacentral:rRNA from 1 species